UACAGAGGAUGCGAGCGUUGUCCGGAGUUACUGGGCGUAAAGCGCGCGCAGGCGGCGGUGCUGGCCCGGCGUGAAAGCCCCCGGCUCAACCGGGGAGAGUCGUCGGGGACCGCACCGCUUGAGGGCGGUAGGGGCUGGUGGAAUGCCUGGUGUAGUGGUGAAAUGCGCAGAUAUCAGGAGGAACACCAAUUGCGAAGGCAGCUCGCUGGGACGUUACUGACGCUGAGACGCGAAAGCGUGGGGAGCAAACAGG
rnacentral:rRNA from 1 species